GGCAUGUGCUGUCCGUGAGUGGGGGAGAGGCUCUUUCCGGUCGACGUUUUUUUUUCUGGUGAAGGUGGCGUGGCCGCGUGGUGGUUUGCUGGCCGCAGGAGGGAUGCAUUCCCAUCGUCCUAGCACCCAUGCUCCGCCGUGGGCCGUGGCCGACGUAUUUCUCGGGGCGGCGAGGUGGCGAGAUCCUCCUCAUCGGCUCCUUGCUCUCCUGCGAGACCGCCACAGCUCAUCGUAGUUGCCGCUGCGCCCAGGUCAUCUCCCCCGCAGCCAGCGCUGCCGGAUUGAUGGCCGAGUCAAGGCAGUUCCAUCAUCUGAUCUUCCUCGUGGUGCUAUGACCACAAUCAGCACACCACGUACAGCCUCACCGGAGAGACGACACUACCAUCAGAACUAGGAGUAGUAAGAGGAGCCCCCCUUGCUACAUGGAGAACAACAGUUGAAGAAGAACAUCUUAAAAUCCUCACAAGCUUCAGGGUCUUCUGCUCAUCUCUUUGUAGGUAGGUUGCAAAUAGGAUCUAUAAUCUUUGUCCACAAUUUUCAGAUGAUUUUACCUACCUCCAGUUUCAUUAUGGUUACAUUAUGGGUCACACUGUGACUGCAGCCGCCAUUGCAAGUUUGACUUGAAUUUUGGCUUCUGUAGGUAUGGACUCGAUUCUCCUCUCCAUAGGUUUCUACCUCUCUGAAUUCCUAUUCCUGUUGCCACAUAAUUACAUCCUUUAUUUUUGGGGCGGAAAUCAAUGUAUAGAUCUAUUGUUUCUCUGUACAAGCACAUGCUAUAUAUUUGUUUUUGGACUAAUUCUUCCAUUGUUUUCUUGCUAAUUUGAAAUUAUCCAACCUUUUAUAUUUUCACUUGCAUAGAUGGCUUAAUCUAGAACCUGGACCGAUGACUAUGUAUAACGCAUGCAUUGGGUCGUUUCUCCUAAGAAGAUUAAACAACCUGAACUUUUAACUUGAGCUCCAAAGAAGUUGUUGAAUGAUCUAGCAUUUUUGGGUUUUUACUAAGCUGAAAAAUGUAGCACUGUGACAAUAAUAUUCUGAACUUAAAUCUUUCAUUUUCUUACCACAUUUUUACAAUUGUGCACUUGGAUGAUGGUGACAUUAUUUCUUAUCUGAAUUCUGCACGCAUGUUUCCAAUUGAAACAGUAACUGAAAUUGAUAAGUAUGCAACAGUUUCUGCCCUGCAGCAUGGCUAAAAUGUUGUGAGUUACUACUUCAGAUAAGUAACCACCGUAUUAUUUUCUGUGUGUAAUUGACAUGUACAGAUGUUGUCCCUCCGCCUGACAACAAUCUAUAGGUAUGCAGGUACUGUCUAAUACCUACACACAAGCUUCUCUCACAGAUUGACUCCUCUGAUUGUGACUCAGCAUGUGUGUGGCCGUGAUGCAGACCUUAUCUUGGCCUGAGCUUCAAUUCCCUUAUGUGAUACGAUUGGCAGCUCUUUUCUUCUAGAUAUAUUGGUUUCUGCAGGUUCCAUUGGAUCUUGCCUUUGAGUGAUACGAUAGCUCAAUGGCAUGCUCACCAGUUGUUGUCCUGUCAAAAUGGCAAACUGGCUCAACUUUAUUUCCUAUGUGUAUUACAGAGUACUAGAUGUGAUUACUUUAUUUCUAGCACUGGCAAUUUUCUAAGCAUUAUGUUUUUUAAGACGCUGAGGUCUCCGAUGAUUAGUUAUGCUUUGUGAGAUUUAUGCGCUUCAUACAACCUAGGUAAUUCUCAUUUGAUCUUCUUAAUUUCUAACUGAAUAUAGAUAUAUACUGACAGUAAGGCCGGUGCAGUAAAUAGUUGGAUAAUUCUUUGACAUGUCGUACUCUAACGUUUGUUUAAAUCAGCAUUGGAUACUCCCAUGAUCGAUUACUCUUUGCAUAAUAAAUUAAUACAAUAAGAAGUGUAUUGGUUCUUCAGUGUUUGCAGGCAGAAAAUGAUUUAAAUAUAGACACAGUGAGCUGCAUACUGCAAUAACAGCCAAUUGCCAGACAGGAUUACAUUGAUCAAAGAAAGCACUGUUUGGAUAGAGAAAAGAUCAUGGUCAACAAUUGGUGCUUGAGGAAAUGGGUAUAUAUGGUUAUAAGGUUGCGGGAAGUUGUAUAUGACCGGAGCAAGUUGUAAUUUCUCUUCCAGAAUUAUCUAAGCUAAGAGUUUCAUUUAGCUUCAUAGUUGUGCUUUAUUUCCUGGGACAACACGCCCUUAAUGUACAUGUCAUUGUGUCCUGGAACAUUAAUUCAUAAAAAAUAGCAACUUCAAAUUAAAAUUUUAAUAUCUAAUA